rnacentral:rRNA from 1 species
AACGAACGCUGGCGGCAUGCCUAACACAUGCCAGUCGAACGAGACCUUCGGGUCUAGUGGCGCACGGGUGCGUAACGCGUGGGAACCUGCCCUUAGGUUCGGAAUAACUCCCCGAAAGGGGUGCUAAUACCGGAUAAUGUCUUCGGACCAAAGAUUUAUCGCCUUUGGAUGGGCCCGCGUUGGAUUAGCUAGUUGGUAGGGUAAAAGCCUACCAAGGCGACGAUCCAUAGCUGGUGUGAGAGGAUGGUCAGCCACACUGGGACUGGGACACGGCCCAGACGCCAACGGGAGGCAGCAGGGGGGAAGAUUGGACAAUGGGCGAAAGCCUGAUCCAGCAAUGCCGCGAGAGUGAUGAAGGCCUUAGGGUUGUAAAGCUCUUUUACCCGGGAUGAUAAUGACAGUACCGGGAGAAUAAGCUCCGGCUAACUCCGU